rnacentral:tRNA from 1 species
GUCUUAGUAGCACAGUGGUUAGUGCACAGCCCCGGAGAGGUUGAGACGCGGGUUCGAUUCCCGCCUGAGAUG